rnacentral:ncRNA from 1 species
AAACUGGCUAUGAAGGGAAUAGUACAUUCAGGACAAUCACCAGAGAGGGAAGACAUGGUGGAAACUUCCUGUGCGAAAUGAAUGGAACCGGCCCCGGAGCUGCCUGUGAGGAGCAGGACGCGACUUUGGCGUUACAAAAGAAGAAAGAGUGAACAGUUUCUAAACUGUUAAUAAGGGUGGUACCGCCGGGCAACGCUUGGUCCCUGUU